CCACCGCAGACCGUAUUGGUGGUGGCUGCUUCGAUGGUGUGACGGUGGGAAUGACUGGAGUUGUUGUUGCUGUUGUUGUUGUUGUUGUUGUUGAACUGUGA
rnacentral:ribozyme from 1 species